ACCUCAACUCUUUGGAUAAGGUAUUUGUGAAUGACCAAUUCCUCAACUGGGAUCCCGAGCAUCGAAUCAAAGUUCAAAUUGUCUCUGCAAGGGCCUAUCAUUCCCUAUUCAUGCACAACAUGUAAGUGAGAAAUACUACUAAUAAGAAUGCUAAAGAUGCUCUUCAAUUCCAUAGUUCGACAGUUAUCCAGAUAAGUCAUCUUUGUGUUGGUUCUGUUCAUCUUUAGUAGUGAAUCAUAGUUGUGUUAGUAGCAGGCUGGAUCAUACAUAUGCAUAUAUUAGUGUUAGUGAGCUAACUAGCUCCUCUUUCUCUCCUUAAUGUCAAGGGAAAACAUGUAAACUAGAAGAAGAAAAACUCUCUUUUGCAUGAAAUAAUUGGAAGGAUCGCAGGUGCAUCCGUCCUACGCCUGAAGAACUGGAGGAAUUCAGUACUCCGGACUUCACAAUUUACAAUGCUAACCAGUUUCCAUGUAAUCGAUACACACACUACAUGACUUCAAGGCGGCAGUUCAGUCAGGAGGCAUGUCGUCUACUCAUUCCUCUGUCAGAAGCGUUUCUUUUUUUUUAGGCCAUCGCUUCUCUAUAUUCCCCUUAUUUUGCAAUUUGUGAGGUUGAACUAUGGAAUUUUAAUCAAUUAUGCUUGGAUUUUUCUAGGUCGUUACUGUUGUGGCUACAUUGCUUGGGCUGGAGAGGGGAUUCUCUGACUCCAUCUUUGGCAUGUUUGUUGUAUUUGCUACUCUAAUUAUUGUACGAUGCUCAGGUAAACUAGUUUUCUUUUUUGGUUUAUGUUCUAUAGUCCUUGUGUAUGCCAUGAUGGUAAUUUGCAAUUAGACUCUAUUCAUGUGAGUUGACUUUGUAUGAAUCUGGAAAAUGUUUUUUCUUGGGAACUGUGUUAGCCAUAUUUAUCAUCGAGGAAUAUAGUUGAAUACUGUUGCCUGAGAGUUAGAAUUGGUUUGAGUGAAGCAACUGAUAAUCCUACAAACUUCUAAUGGUUUAGUCUGUCAUUGCCAUGGGCUAGAACAAUUUAAUUAGUUUGUUUGCCAUAUCCAUCUCCUGCGCUUCUAGAAGAAAGCUUGUAUGAUGAACACAAUUUAUAGCAGAGCUUGUGAAAACAAUUAGUUUAAAGUCGUUUCUUUCUCAACCGACUUGUAGACAAAGAAAAUUGGUCUUGUUUGGUUAGUGAAAGUUGUCAGAUCGUUGUCGGAAGAACUGGCAUGAACACUCUUACUAACCAGACUGGCGAAGUUACAAGGUGAUCUUAUACUUUUAUUCCAUCUUGUUGUUGAUGAUAAAUGUUAAAGUGCUCUAAUUUUGAGAAAAAUUUAUGCUUGACUUGGACUUCUUUAUUUCUUCUUCUAACUCUUGACAUUUUGUAUGGCCAAUAAAUCAUUUGCAAGGGAUGUUCAAUCGAACUAUCAGAUUAUUAGA